rnacentral:ncRNA from 2 species
CUUAUACGCGAGGGGAGUCCGAACGGACUGAGAGUCUUCAUAACGAAGAGACCCUAACGACCUGAUCUGGGUAAUGCCAGCGUAGGGAAGCGGCGGAAGUCUUUU